CCGAGAAUAUUCGACAAUGGGCGAAAGCCUGAUCGAGCGAUACCGCGUGGUGGAUGAAGGCCUUUGGGUCGUAAACACCUUUUAUGCGUGAAGAAGUUAUUGACAUUAGCGCAUGAAUAAGAGGCUCCUAACUCUGUGCCAGCAGGAGCGGUAAUACAGAGGCCUCGAGCAUUACCCGGAAUUACUGGGCGUAAAGGGUGCGUAGGUGGUCAUGUUAGUCGCCUGUUAAAAACCGGGGCCCAACCCCGGGAGUGCAGGCGAAACGGCAUGACUCGAGGGCGUGAGAGGUGCAUGGAACUCAUGGUGUAGGGGUGAAAUCCGUUGAUAUCAUGGGGAACACCGAAAGCGAAGGCAGUGCACUGGCGCGUUCCUGACACUCAAGCACGAAAGCGUGGGUAGCGAAUGGGAUUAGAUACCCCGGUAGUCC
rnacentral:rRNA from 1 species